rfam:Schistosoma mansoni, Puerto Rico, WGS project CABG01000000 data, contig: 0156
AUACAGCUGACGAGUACCAAAUAGGACGAAACGCGCGUCCUGGAU